rnacentral:rRNA from 1 species
UACGUAGGCAGCGAGCGUUGUUCGGAAUUACUGGGCGUAAAGAGUGUGUAGGCGGUGCUCUAAGUCUGUUGUGAAAUCUCCCGGCUCAACUGGGAGGGUGCGGCGGAAACUGGAGUGCUCGAGUGUGGGAGAGGUAAGCGGAAUUCCUGGUGUAGCGGUGAAAUGCGUAGAUAUCAGGAGGAACACCUGCGGUGUAGACAGCUUACUGGACCACGACUGACGCUGAGGCGCGAAAGCUAGGGGAGCAAACAGG